rnacentral:piRNA from 1 species
UAUCCUUAAUUCAAGGGCAAAGGGCUGAGA